CAGUAAUAAAUCAUGACCCGUUAAUAUUGCAUGUGACAGCCGAUCCCUUCGAUAUCAUCUUUCAUUUUUUUACUGUAGAGAGAUUGAAUAUUACUCCCUCGAUGGUGACCAUGAAAGUUCUAUUGGAGGUAUUAUUACACAUUCGAUAGAUGAUUUUGCUGGCGAUUACGCCAUCAUUGAUGGAAACUGGCAUCACGUCCAGCAAAAAACAGAACGAGAUGUAAUUUUCUUCCACGACCGAAAUUUGGCAAUAAAGUUUGAUGACAUUCACAUGAGCAGACAACAAAGAAUGUGCAGGGUAAUUCAAUUGGCAUGUAAUAAUAAGUGAAGGGCUUGGACUUGAAUGGUCGAACGUCUAGUCAGACUCAAAGUCUGAGACAAAUCAUUCUAUGUACGAAGUUGAUGGACUAUGAUACUCCAAACGCAUAUAAUCAGGAAUACUUAUGUAAUACUUAGAUGAUGUUUAUUAACAGAUAUCUAAAUUUCAUAGUCUGAUCACUUCAAGACAUUACAAACAUAGAAUCCAAUCGAGGUCACAUAUAUGAUGAUUUUACUGAACACCUGCAAGGGAAUGAGCCAAACAAUUAUAACAGAGGACAUCAUUAUUUUUACUUACUGACUUUAUUAGUUCUAACGUAAACGGCAAAAUCUAGUUUUUGUCAGACUAGAAGACCGUCGCCUCCCCCUGAUAAUCACUAACCGCCAGAAAAGGAAGGAUAAUUGAAUGAGGGGUAAGUGUUCGAUCCGGCGAUGCUGAUCAGCCUCAGAAUCAUCAAUUCAUGGAAGAUUGUCGCAUCAACGUUAGGUACGAAAAAGCAGUG